rnacentral:rRNA from 1 species
UACGUAGGGUGCGAGCGUUGUCCGGAAUUAUUGGGCGUAAAGAGCUCGUAGGCGGCUUGUCACGUCGGAUGUGAAAACCCGGGGCUCAACCCCGGGCCUGCAUUCGAUACGGGCAGGCUAGAGUUCGGCAGGGGAGACUGGAAUUCCUGGUGUAGCGGUGAAAUGCGCAGAUAUCAGGAGGAACACCGGUGGCGAAGGCGGGUCUCUGGGCCUUACCUGACGCUGAGGAGCGAAAGCGUGGGGAGCGAACAGG